GAUGAACGCUGGCGGCGUGCCUAAUACAUGCAAGUCGAGCGAACAGAUGAGGAGCUUGCUCCUCUGACGUUAGCGGCGGACGGGUGAGUAACACGUGGAUAACCUACCUAUAAGACUGGGAUAACUUCGGGAAACCGGAGCUAAUACCGGAUAAUAUAUUGAACCGCAUGGUUCAAUAGUGAAAGACGGUUUUGCUGUCACUUAUAGAUGGAUCCGCGCCGCAUUAGCCAGUUGGUAGGGUAACGGCUUACCAAGGCAACGAUGCGUAGCCGACCUGAGAGGGUGAUCGGCCACACUGGAACUGAGACACGGUCCAGACUCCUACGGGAGGCAGCAGUAGGGAAUCUUCCGCAAUGGGCGAAAGCCUGACGGAGCAACGCCGCGUGAGUGAUGAAGGUCUUCGGAUCGUAAAACUCUGUUAUUAGGGAAGAACAAAUGUGUAAGUAACUAUGCACGUCUUGACGGUACCUAAUCAGAAAGCCACGGCUAACUACGUG
rnacentral:rRNA from 1 species